ACUCCACCCAUGACUGUUUGUGUUGGGAGCUGCUUCGAGGCUGCUGAGCUGUCGACUAAUGUCAAGGCUGACCUCAGCUGGCAGCGCCCUUCUCCUACUUCCCUGUCUACCAACCACCAGAGAUAGAAGAAAAGAAAGGUUAUUAAGGAGAGUGGGCCUGUUUAGAAAUAGUUCUUUGAGGUGACUCCAGUCUUCAUUGCUCUCAGUCCAGCCCCCUAGCAAAUAUCCCACACGAGCCAGCAGCUGCAGACCAGUCCACGACGAAUCAGCAAGUGCAGUCCAAUCCAGAAGAAACCGCAAGGCUUGCUGACUGGCCUGAGUCCGUGGAAGGAAGCUCAUGAGAAGUUCUUUGUCGAGUUUCUCUCUAUGAAGCCAAGCUCAGCAACACAAUGAUGUAAGGCGAACAAUACAUGUGUGUCCUUAGUGAAGAUUAGCGAACGAACAAGGCAGAGCAAAGCAAACCAAUGCUUGAGCCCCCACUAUCUGUGGGGUCAUGUUUAUCUUCCAUCUAAACAUCAUGCCUCCUUUCACAUGUCUGCUAUAGCAAAACAUCCUUUCACCUGUGUGCCCCAGCAAAACAUUAUUUGACAUAACUGAAGUUUCUACUUCAAUAGAGAGUGAGGAACACAUGAAAUCAAGGCAUCUCUGAAAGGCAGGAUGCUGAGCGGUCAAAGCUGAGUCAGGAGUGGAUGCUGCAUCAGCAACCAGCCCAGGCAUGUAGGAGUUGGAGUCAGAAGGGUGAUCAUUAAGUGAUGGCAAAGAAAUUGAUUCAGUUUGAUUGACUCUAGUUGAGGAGCCUGCGGAGGUGGACGCCUAACAUCAACAAUACCUUUUGAGCACCCAACUCUUGGAGUUCUGGAUACGAAUGUCAUGGGUCUUCGAGCACCUGUACACCGUGCUUUGAUUUCUGCCUGGAUCUGUCCUCCAGCCCUCUCUACCGACCCUUUCUGACGUUCCUUUCUUCCUGCAUUCAGCGGCUAUUGUUUGAGUGCUUACUAUACAUUCUAGAAGCAAAGAGACUGAUAAAUCAAAACAUGAUAAAGAAGCAAUCUAUGCUACAGGAAGGAAGCAACCAACAAAGCAAAAAGGAACCUGUCCAGUGUGUAAGGUGGCUAAAAAGCCAAGUAGGGUGAGGGGAUGGGGACUCCUGGGAGGGGAGGAAGAGUAAGAAGCCAUGACAACUGGGAGGUCAGGAAAGACACAGGUGCAGUCAUGGUCAUUUGUAACAGAUGCAACGGAGAACUUUGGCAAAUGUUAACUUAUUAUGGAAAUGUCACUUCAAAGGAUUAGCCUGGUGGCCUCCCAUGAAAGGAAUGACCUGUGUUGAUCCCCAGCCUAAUAACUUUUCAUGACAAUAGUCAAAGCAAUAUCUGCCAGGCACUUCAUGUGGGACCGGGAGGCAAGAAAGAACGCAGGUACAACCGUGGGAAAGAAACUGCAAAUGAAACAGUUAAUUCAGAAGAAGUCAGACUUAGAUGUUUACAUGUGGCUUGCUAACUUGGCUAAUUAAUAAUAUUGAAGCGGACAGACUAAUCUAAAUCAAUGGCAGGCUAAAGCUCUCCUUUGCCUGUUUAGUGACGAUAAGCCAGGGGGACAGUUGAGCUUCCGUUCUUAAUAACUCCCAGGUCCUCAUCUUUGGGGAUGGUUGGAGAAAACAACACCCUGACCACUUGAUGGGAAUAGAAGUGGUCAGGACAGAAGGAUUUGGGAAAUGGAAAGAGCGCUUCUCAGCAGUGCCCUCCCAGCCCAGGGUGAGAUGUUCUAGGUCUUGGUUCAUAUUUCUUGCAUCUUAGUUCCCCACUGAAGGGGCUGAAAUACAGCUUUCCAAUUACAAGUUUUCAUGGUUCUUUGUAGAGAAAUUCAAGUCUAUGCUCUAAAAUAGGUUCACCGUGUAAAUCUGGACUCUCUAUCAUGCCAAUUCGACUGGGGAUAGGCCCACCGGUCAGAGGGGAAUGAAUGACUGUGAUAAGAGUCAUCCACACCUCUCCUGUAGAGAGCUGGGAAGGACAGUGCCCAAGGCCUGGUGGCAGUGACUGUUGUCAAGAAAGAAGAAAAUGGCCUACCUGGCUGACUCACAAGGGAACCUCUCCAUGGAGGUGGGAGACGAUAUCUUUGUAGGGAUUGAUAUCCCAGGAGCAGCCAAAAAGGACAACUUAGGUUACAUCACUGUCUACAGCUCCUGGACACUCCUACAUAUCACACUGAAGGUUAUACGUGCUCCUGUGUGUUGCACAGCAGUGACACAGUCUCUGUUUUAGCUUGCCUUAUGCUGGUAAAAAAAAAUAAGCAAACAAAACCAAACAACAACAAUAGCAAGGAGUUACACAAAAUACUCUGGGAAUCGAGAUUAGCAUUUGUUAUUUGUUGGAUUGUUGGCUUUAAGAAACAGGGCUUCCCUAUGUAGUCCAAGCUAUUCUUAAACUCCAGAACUCUUAUCUCUACCUCCUAUGUGCUAGGAUUAUAGGCUUGCACCACCACACUUGGCCAAAAUUAUCAUUUUUUGACUUACAGUUUGUAAUAAGCCUUUCCCUAACAUUGUCAUGUUUCCUCAUCCAAAGGUAAUAAGUUCCAUUUUAUAAAUCAGCAAGCCACAGUGUAUUGGCUAAGGAAUUAGCUUAAAAUCAUUUUUUAAAAUGUUUAAACAAAGUAUGUGUAUGCAGAUGUGUGUGUGUGUGUGUGUGUGUGUGUGUGUGUGUGUGUGUGUGUGUACACAAGUGCAUGAACAGCCCAAUACACAUGUAGAAGCCAGAGGAUAACUUCCAGGAGUUGAUUCUCUUCUUCCCCCAUGUUGAGGCAGGGUCUGUUGUUUGUGUCAACCUUCUGGACAAUUCUGUCAUUGCCUCCCAUCUCUAUGGGGUGCUGAGUUUACAGAAAGUAAGCUAUCGCUGCACCACCUCAUCUGGCUUUUUAAUGUAGGUUUUGGAAUCAAACUCAGGUUUCCAGCAUUGUUGACUUUUAUCUACUGAGCCACCUCACCCACACCCCUGAGGUCAUCUUAAAGACAACUAUGGUAUUUGAAGGUUUUGUAGAUGCCCACAUCUUUACCUGUGGCACUUUCCCAAAGCAGCUGGAUAACUGAGCAUGUGCAACUAUGAGCAAAGAGGAAAACCCCCAGAUCAUUGCCCUCUGAAUGACUCUUACCAGCUCUCCAAGCUCCCUGUGGAGUGGGGAGCACAGAGCUCAUGCCCUCAUGCUCUCCCUCCCGCUCUAGUCCCCUACCAUCGCCUGGGACAGGAAAGUAGGUGACAGAAUGAAUAGACAAACUCACAGGGUAGCUGGAAGAAGUCUUCAUGGCCUAGUUUCCUAAAGAGAGCCCAGUGAACAGUAACUGUAAUAUCCAAACCUCAGUGUGAGGCAAUUGCUUCCGCACGCAUACAAGUCCUUAAGGAAGAGUAUUGGAAACUAGAGGAGUUUCUGUGGACACGGAGCAAUCUUAUUAAAGUAAGCUCUACCAAUGCAGGAAAACUACCAGCAGCCAACACAUCAGCACAGGGGCUUCCCAUAUAAGCCCAAGCCCCAGUGAAAGGAGGCAAGUGAGGGGGCUGGGACAUCAGUUUUCUUGUGUUCACACUUUUCUCUCGCUCCUGCACAAGUUGCUUUCCUAAUCACCCACUUGUUCAUUAAGUGCUGUUCUGGGCCUCACCGCAUCCUGACGUUACACAGAGCACCUCUUUCAUCCCAUCUCCCUUGAUCUCCCCACUAACCUGGAAGACACAGUUUCCUCUCUUUUAAAAAUGAGCAAACUGAGACCCCGUAAAGUUGGAUGCCUCCUUCCCCAUGCAUGCCAUGGCUCCUAUGAAAACUGCCUUAGGAACCCCAGGCUCCUGUGUGCCCUCCACUACCUUUGCUACUUUCCCUGCCCACUCUUUACCCUCCAAUCUUGCUAGAAUUCUGCAGUGAUUGUCCUCAGGAGAGAAGGCAUUUCCUCCAUUAUCCAUAUAUCCCAACUGAGGUCCCAGGACCAUUCUGGAAUAAAUGAGAACUUAGAACCCCUUAGACUGUAGUAAUCAUUAUUAAUUGUUAGUAAUCCACUUUGCCUGCUGAGCCACACUGUAAUUUCCAAUGCUAAGUGGAGCAGUCCCCCCCUGAGAGGUUGUGUCCUUGAUAGGACUUCAUAGAAAGAAAUCAGUUCGCACAACUUUACAGACCCGAGUCCAGAGCUUAGCCCGUGUCCUGUGUGUGCCAAAUGCUCAGCAAAGAUUUCCCUUGAGUGAACGAGUGAAGGAAGGAAGGAAUGAAUUGUUCUGAGAGGCUCCCGAGGCUUCUCUGAUACUCUCAGAUCAUGCCUGCUGAUGCACACUCUUUUGGGAGGUGGAUAAACAGCACCUGGGCCUGCUCAAAAGGUAGAAGAUGCAGAAGCAGGGUUCCCAGCCCUUUGUGAAGCAUCCUUUACGGUUCAUGCCGAGCACGCAUCUGAGAUUCCCCUUGAAGCUUGGUAGAAUUUGUUUUUAGGAUUACCUGACAAGCAUUAAAAGCAAUUGACUUCAGAGCAAAUAUGAAGGAGUCACUUUGCUCGUUGUCAUUGAUUUGGUGGAGAACAAAAAGAAAACCAAGUGCAGAUCUAUUAUUGUUUUUAAGGGGAAAAAAUGUUUUAAUUAUUCGGGAGGAGAAAUCUCUAUCCCACCACCCAUUCUUUGUAUAAAUUAUAUUUAAAUAAAAUUGAGAGGAUUUAUAUAGCUAGGAACUGGCACACAUUCAGACCUGAGGAAUCACGAUGUGUGGGAGGUUCUCAGUUUCACAAACAAAUG
rnacentral:lncRNA from 1 species